CUUCUUUGGAAUAAAAUGUUCCACUAUUUGUCUUCCACUUGUUGAUUUCAGCCUCCAGGGAAGAUUUCUAGCUGAUAGUGAUGCUCUGGCUACAGAACAACCUCCUGCCUGUUGCCUGCCUGUGAAGAGACCAGGGUACAGCAGAGGCUGAAGAGUCUUCACUAUAAGAGAAAUUACCUUGAGGAGGAAGCAACUCAUCCCUACUGACAUUGCAAAAGAAGGUGGCAGUCAAGGACAGUGCUUGGUGACCAGUCACUCACAACCUGCAAGAUUCUGUGAAAUGAAGUCCAGUCAUUCUUGGCCAAGGAAUGUCAGUCUUCAGUCACUGGACAAGAGGAUACCUUCAAAUACAGAUGAAAAUCACAGCUCCUGCUAAAAUCAUGGGUGGAAAGAUAUCUGUGUAUAGGGUACUGCUCUAGGACAG
rnacentral:lncRNA from 1 species